CAGUUAUGGUUAGUGUAGCCAAGUCCUUUGAUGCACCUAUAAAGCUUUUGUUCCCCACAGGAGAUGCUGCAAGACCAUUUUCUAUGUUGGAUUAGGAGAUAUUGUUAUCCCUGGCAUCUUUGUGGCAUUGGCAUUGCGAUUUGAUGUUUCCGAGGGAAAGAGA